UGGGGGAUAUUAGGCAAUGGGGGAAACCCUGACCUAGCAACGCCGCGUGAAGGAAGAAGGUCUUCGGAUUGUAAACUUCUUUGACGAGGGACGAUAAUGACGGUACCUCGAAAACAAGCCACGGCUAACUACGUGCCAGCAGCCGCGGUAAUACGUAGGUGGCGAGCGUUGUCCGGAUUUACUGGGUGUAAAGGGCGUGUAGGCGGAAUGGCAAGUCAGAUGUGAAAUACGGGAGCUUAACUCCCGGGCUGCAUUUGAAACUGCUGUUCUUGAGUGAUGGAGAGGUAAGCGGAAUUCCCGGUGUAGCGGUAAAAUGCGUAGAUAUCGGGAGGAACACCAGUGGCGAAGGCGGCUUACUGGACAUUAACUGACGCUGAGGCGCGAAAGUGUGGGGAGCAAACAGG
rnacentral:rRNA from 2 species